rnacentral:rRNA from 1 species
UACAGAGGGGGCAAGCGUUGUUCGGAAUUACUGGGCGUAAAGGGCGCGUAGGCGGCCUGUUAAGUCGAACGUGAAAUCCCCGGGCUCAACCCGGGAACUGCGUCCGAUACUGGCAGGCUUGAAUCCGGGAGAGGGAUGCGGAAUUCCAGGUGUAGCGGUGAAAUGCGUAGAUAUCUGGAAGAACACCGGUGGCGAAGGCGGCCUGCUGGGCAGUGGCUGACGCUGAGGCGCGACAGCGUGGGGAGCAAACAGG